CCUACGGGUGGCAGCAGUGGGGAAUAUUGCACAAUGGGGGAAACCCUGAUGCAGCGACGCCGCGUGGGCGAGGAAGUACCUCGGUAUGUAAAGCCCUAUCAGCAGGGAAGAAACAGGACAGUACCUGACUAAGACGCCCCGGCUAACUACGUGCCAGCAGCCGCGGUAAUACGUAGGGGGCAAGCGUUAUCCGGAUUCACUGGGCGUAAAGGGAGCGCAGGCGGCAUGGCAAGUCGGCUGUGAAAACCCGGGGCCCAACCCCGGGAGUGCAUUGGAAACUGCCAGGCUGGAGGGUCGGAGGGGUAAGCGGAAUUCCUAGUGUAGCGGUGAAAUGCGUAGAUAUUAGGAGGAACACCAGUGGCGAAGGCGGCUGACUGGACGACUACUGACGCUGAGGCUCGAAAGCGUGGGGAGCAAACAGGAUUAGAUACCCUGUAGUC
rnacentral:rRNA from 1 species